rnacentral:rRNA from 1 species
UACGUAGGGGCUAGCGUUGUCCGGAUUUACUGGGCGUAAAGGGCGCGUAGGCGGCGCAACAAGUCACUUGUGAAAUCUCCGGGCUUAACUCGGAAAGGUCAACUGAUACUGUGCGACUAGAGUGCGGAAGGGGCAACUGGAAUUCUCGGUGUAAGCGGUGAAAUGCGUAGAUAUCGAGAGGAACACCUGCGGCGAAGGCGGGUGCUGGGCCGACACUGACGCUGAUGCGCGAAAGCCAGGGGAGCGAACGGG